rnacentral:rRNA from 2 species
GUGCGAGACCGAUAGCGAACAAGUACCGUGAGGGAAAGAUGAAAAGAACUUUGAAAAGAGAGUUAAAGAGUACCUGAAACUGCUGAAAGGGAAGCGAAUCGUAUCCAGUGUCUAUAAUCUGCGGCAUAUUUCAUUGGCGGCGGUGCGCGUGCUUUUGCGUCGGAAGCGGCUUUUGUUGCUCUGUGCUUUUGCUGUGCGUGGUGUUGCUGGUGCCCUGUGUUGCGGUGGGACGUCAGAGUCAGUUUGUAUGCUGCGGGAAAUGGCUGCCGAGGAGGUAGGUCGAGAUUUCGGUCUUGGCUGUUAUAUCUUGGUGGUUUGUUGUCGUGGUUGAGACUGAGGUGCCUACAAUGUGCUUUUGAGUGUACCGGGUUCUCAUUUGGUGGACUGUUUGGAUAGCUUGCUAUGCUUGUGGUUUUUUCAUCGGGUGAUUGAGUCUGGUGGUAACUUGUUGCUGUUCGGGACUUUGAA